CUUGAGCCAGCAGCGGUUAACCCGGCCCGGGGUUCUGGGCCUCAGCCGGCGCCAGCAGCUCCCUCAGGUGGGGCGCAAGCCUCAGCGCGCCGCCCUUCUCCGCUCCUCUCCUCCAACCGGCCCUUACCUAGGGCGACGGCCCCGGGGACCCCCUUCCCAAGGGCGUCGGCCUGGAGCCUGGAGUCUGUAGGAGUGGCGGGAGAUGGGGACGCGAGUCCCUGGACGCCGACAGUCUGUCUCUAAGGCGUUGCUGCGUGGCUUUGGUACACAGAGCCUCGACCGCUUCUCCACCGCUGCAAGCACAGCGGGGAAGUGGAUGGAGAAGCAAAGACAGACAGACAGACAGACAGACAAGCGGCGGCGGGGCUACCCUGAAACCCGAGCGUCUCCAAGCCCCCACCCCCAACCCCCGGGCACGGCGCUGCAGAUGCCAGAUCCCCGACCAGAGGCGGUGGAGAUGGGCAGGGCAAAGAACGCGCGCGCCGCUCGCAGCUCGUCCGCGCGUGGCCUUCCUCUUGCCCCCCUGCACCUUCAAUUUACCUUAUGCAGGGCGCCCCGCGAGCUGCGGGCUGAGGCGCCGAGCCGAAGCCCAGAGGACAGGAGUUUGAGAGCCGCCAUCUUCGGCCCCGGGUGCGGGAGACGGUGGCGCGCGCGGGAGUGCGUGCGAGUGCUGGUUGCCCGGGGCCGCGGCGGCGUCACCGGCUAAGAAGAGAGAAGGCAAGGCGAGCGGUAGGGCGGGCUGGAGGCUCGACCGCGCGUCAGUGACGUCCUCGGGACCUCAGAGCGGUGCCGCCCCUUGCUGCCUGCUGGCUUGUCAAGAAGCGAGACAGGGAGGGGCUCACGGCUAGGAAUGGAAAGGCUGCACAGCUAGGACGAGCCCCGCGGGUUGUGCCGGGGCCGGAGGUGCUGGGCUCCAGCUCAUCUGCGGGCACACCCGCAGCGGCGGGCGCUGCACUCAGGCUGGAGGGGGCGCUAGAGCCUGCCUUCCCCUCGCGCAAGGCUUGGCAUCAACCAGGGUUUCGGGUUGCCAAGGGCCUGGAGGGUCUCUUACUGAACGUGUUACUUUUCCAAAUCGCCCUCUGGAAUGAGUACAGGUACAAAGGGUCACUGAUAAAGAUCUCCUUCCAGAUCUAGACAGCUCACCUUUCCAACAUUUCUCAACCCCAACACCCACAACUCUCUUCAAGUCUGGUUUUGCCCUUAGUUUCCUCUGAAACCCAGCAGCGUGCUGACUGACCCUCAUGAGACAUGACCUGCUUAACCGACAGAGGGACAAGAUUAGAACUGGGCUGUUGUUCCCCAUCAUCCUACUCUGUGUUCCAGAAUUUUCCUGGAACCGGAGUCCCAACAAUUCCAGAAAUUACAGAACAGGAGAAAAUGAAAAUAUAUGAGUUACACAGUCAAAAAAUGAAAAUGAGAGUCAUGUUACGGUGCUAAGAAAACUUCAGGAGAAAAACACAGCCAUCUAAGUGUGCUCAGCUUCAGCAUAGGACACCUGCUUUGGAUUCUCAGCCUCUCCAAUGUCAGGGAGAGACUGCCAUAAUUGACUUUGUUCCCCCUGAAACUGUGAGCCCAAAAAUGAGUCCUUUCUUCUAUAAACUGGUUUUGAUCAUUGUGUUUUAUCACAGCAACCGUUAAAUACAGAAGUUGGUGCUAGAGUGGGCUGAAGCUGUGUAGCACUUGACUGUGUUGCUUUGAAGAGGAAGGUGGAAGACUGUGGAGAUCUGGCCUGGAGCAGCAUCUGGAUACUUUCGGCAGAACUUAAAAGGCAACCCUAAAGGAAGCCUGAAAGAUAACCACACUGAGAGCAAUGAGGACUGUGGAGACCCAGAGCAGAAGGUUUCAGAGAGGAACACUAUCAGCCAUUGGGCUCCAAGCUCUUGUGAUAUUUGGGCAAAGAAUCUAAUGGCCCUGGGCUUUGAUCCUAAGAACUUACCUAAGGGGAAAUUUUUAAAGUAACAGAAUAAUUUCUAUAGUGGAAUAAAAUUUCAAGACCACAUAACAUUGAGUCUGUGGCAUGGUUUUUAUUGAUAAUGCUUCGGAUCUAUGAUGGAAAAGAGACAGAAAUUAAAAAUGGACAUUUUGGUGAGAUAAGGAGCAUUGGGAAUCUUACUGCCCACAUUGAAAUAGAGGCUAUAAUUGCUCAGGAGUCAAGCACCAUUAAGGAGAGACCUGCUCUACACUGGAAUGUGGUUAACACUCCGCCCAGCUAAGCCUCUACAUUCUGAAAGGAAAAAGACUAAGAGGUGACUAGCCAAACUUAGCAGGUAUCUCAAUAUGAUGUUAUCUUGGAUGCAUGAAGGAGACCACACCGGUUCAUAGACUCCUCUUCCUGGAUCUUAGAUGCAUGAAGGAGACCAUGCCGGUUCAUAGACUCCUCUUCCUGGGCCUCAGGGAGCUGCUGGGGCCAAGAAACAUGUGGAAGAGGGGUCACUACAUGAAGGCUUUGAGAAGGCAAGAGGCUCUAAGAAAGCAUUGCAGGAAACUGUGAAAGUAAAGCUCUUGCAGUAAAGAUCCCAAAUUUUUGGUGAUUCAGCAGCCACGGCUUACCUGCUGUGACAAGUUAUGCUUUGAUUACUGUGCCUAGAGAGAUCCAUGAAACAAAAAGAAAUUCUCCCUUCCCUAGGGACAAGAUACUUCAAAAAUGCUGGAGGCUGUUGUUUAAGGAAGAUAACAAGCCACAUGUUUUCGCACUCAUAAACAAGUUUGUUUGCCCCAACUGCAUUGGCUGUCUCUAUCACCAGUAGGCAGAGGUAAGGAAACAGGAAACAUGUCAAGAUAUAUGCUUGUCCUUCAUUGUAUGUUUGUCCUUCAUUGGAUAUUGAUUGGCCUUGUGGGGUUGCCUUUUUAAGCCUCUGCAAGAUGUGAUUCAUCACCAAUUGCUGGGAACCUGGGAAUGAACCGGGUCAGAGUCCAUCCUCCUGGCCAGCAUCUAAUUAACGAUUGCUUCAUAUUUGACUCAAAGAUUGUGGUAGUGGUCUUAUUCCCAACUGGUGAGAUUAACACUGCCAAAGAGAACUGCAAACAGGGGCAGAACCAGCCCAGGAGAGAUAUGUACGUCGCAGGCAGCAAAGGUGGGGGUGUAGAGGUAUCUAAGCCCCUCGACAUCAGAUGUGAAACUACAGAUUUGGUCUUGGCCCUGUUGAGUUCUGAUCUUACUUUGGCAUAGCAUUCCCAUUUAGAAGGUUUGUGGGUAUUAUAUUCUGGGGUAUUACACAUUGAACACAUGUGAAUUGUGUUUUGAUCUUACAGUGGUUACAAUUAAGAGAGUUCCUUGAGCCUCAGAA
ensembl:processed_transcript BC037032 cDNA Sequence BC037032